UGAAGAUGGAUGAAGAUAGCUGUUUCUUCGGCGAUGGCGGCACUCUAGCUACGUUUCACCGGAAGAGUAGAUGUUUACGAUUCUGGCUGUAUUCUGGAGCGUUUCCUCAUGGGCGUCGCAGUUCACACACGUCACGGAUUCCGCCGAAGGAGUCGAUAAUUAAAACUGAACUUUUGGAUCGGAUAUAUGAAGACGCGCGCUGCAUUUUCCUUGACGGAGACGCACAGCUCUGACACUAGACAAUAUUAUACACUCAAAGGGACCGCGUUUCGCCGGAAGAAUAAAUAAUUACAAAUGGUAUUCGUCAGUGAACAUUUUCAAACUGGGAAUAAUAUAUCAUAAGCAGAUUGAAAUGUGUGAACGUUUCAGUG